CCUACGGGCCGCAGCAGUGGGGAAUAUUGGACAAUGGGCGAAAGCCUGAUCCAGCAAUGCCGCGUGUGUGGAGAAGGUCUUCGGAUUGUAAAGCACUUCCGACGGGGACGAUGAUGACGGUACCCGUAGAAGAAGCCCCGGCUAACUUCGUGCCAGCAGCCGCGGUAAUACGAAGGGGGCUAGCGUUGCUCGGAAUGACUGGGCGUAAAGGGCGCGUAGGCGGUUUAUGCAGUCAGAUGUGAAAUCCCCGGGCUUAACCUGGGAACUGCAUUUGAGACGCAUAGACUAGAGGUCGAGAGAGGGUUGUGGAAUUCCCAGUGUAGAGGUGAAAUUCGUAGAUAUUGGGAAGAACUCCGGUGGCGAGGGCGGCAACCUGGCUCGAUACUGACGCUGAGGCGCGAAAGCGUGGGGAGCAAACAGGAUUAGAUACCCCAGUAGUC
rnacentral:rRNA from 1 species